AGUGAACGCUGGCGGUAGGCCUAACACAUGCAAGUCGAACGGCAGCACAGUAAGAGCUUGCUCUUACGGGUGGCGAGUGGCGGACGGGUGAGGAAUACAUCGGAAUCUACUUUUUCGUGGGGGAUAACGUAGGGAAACUUACGCUAAUACCGCAUACGACCUACGGGUGAAAGCAGGGGAUCUUCGGACCUUGCGCGAUUGAAUGAGCCGAUGUCGGAUUAGCUAGUUGGCGGGGUAAAGGCCCACCAAGGCGACGAUCCGUAGCUGGUCUGAGAGGAUGAUCGGCCACACUGAAACUGAGCAACGGUCCAGACACCUAGGGAAGGCAGAAGUGGGAAAAAUGGACAAUGGGCGCAAGCCUGAUCCAGCCAUACCGCGUGGGUGAAGAAGGCCUUCGGGUUGUAAAGCCCUUUUGUUGGGAAAGAAAAGCAGCAGGUUAAUACCCCGCUGUUCUGACGGUACCCAAAGAAUAAGCACCGGCUAACUUCGUG
rnacentral:rRNA from 1 species